rnacentral:lncRNA from 1 species
GUGGGCUGGAGGGAGGCAGGGGUGCAGUUGCCAGGUGACAGGUGAAGAGGAUGCCCAUCAGGGAGAAACAGUAACUGUUCCCUGGCAUGAGCAUCCCGAGGGUAGAUAUGUUGGGUAGCAAAGCAUGCUUUGAAACAGUCCGUCUCAAAAGCUAUCUUCAGUUGACAUGGUCCUCAGUACCGUUGUCUUUCUUUGUGAAGGAUGGCACACUUCUCUGCCGGGUUCCUGUAUUCCACGCAGAAUGGCCAAAUGCAACUUGUUCUUCAUGGUCAUCUUUUGUGAAAAAGUCUCACAGAAGCGAGUUUGAUUCAGCUCUGAGGAUCUUCACUCUCAGCCAGUCUGAACAUUGGGAGUAAGAAACUUCUCCUCAGGGCCUGAUCCCCACUGCGCUCGCCUCUUGGGCGGAUGCCACGGGGCUCUCGUAGACAAACUCUGGUCAUGCCACACUUCACCAGAUGGAGAGGCUGGGACGCCCGCCCGUGUGCCUCCCUCCCUUCUUCCCACCCUCCUGAGGUAACCGCUGCCCCCAAGCCCGCUUCCGCCAUCUUUAAAUCACGGUUGGACUACAGUUUACCUCCCAGUGCAGUGCAGCCAGCGUGAGUUCUGAACAGCAAGACGAGGGCAGAGCUGGAUUAGGUGACACUUCCAGGCCUGGUCCUCCCACGGGCUCCUGCUCGCCCUGGCUCUUCCUCCAACUGUAGAAGGAUGCAGAGGCUCACAAAGAGGAGUCCGAGACCCCAAAAAUGAUGAGGCCACAAAAUGGAAGACGCUGGGUCCCCCAGUCUCUGUGUGGAAGUCUUCCCACUGAACACCCCCAGUGAGCUGUUGG